UUCAUGGCUCAAUGGUAGAGGAUCUGCCUAGCAUGCAGAAGGUCUCAGGUUCAAUCCCAGUGGCAUCUGGGAAA